AGCAGCUACGAUAAUUCUAGCUCCAAUAGCGUAUAUUAAAGUUGCUGCAGUUAGAAAGCUCGUAGUUGAAUUUCGGGGUUAGUAGGUUGGUCAUGCCUCUGGUAUGUACUGGUCUCACUGAUUCCUCCUUCCCGAUGAACCUUAAUGCCAUUAAUUUGGAGUUUUGGGGAAUUUGGACUGUUACUUUGAAAAAAUUAGAGUGUUUAAAGCAAGCUAACGCUUGAAUACAUUAGCAUGGAAUAAUGAAAUAGGACGUUCGAUCCUAUUUUGUUGGUUUCUAGGAUUGACGUAAUGAUUAAUAGGGAUAGUUGGGGGCAUUAGUAUUCAAUUGUCAGAGGUGAAAUUCUUAGAUUUAUUGAAGACUAACUACUGCGAAAGCAUUUGCCAAGGAUGUUUUCAUUAAUCAAGAACGAAAGUUAGGGGAUCGAAGACGAUCAGAUACCGUCGUAGUCUUAACCAUAAACUAUGCCGACUAGGGAUCGGAUGAUGUUAAUUUUUUAAUGACUCA
rnacentral:rRNA from 1 species